rnacentral:rRNA from 1 species
UACGGAGGGUGCAAGCGUUAUCCAGAUUCACUGGGUUUAAAGGGUGCGUAGGCGGGCAGGUAAGUCCGUGGUGAAAGCUCCGGGCUCAACUCGGAAAUUGCUUUGCAUACUGGCAGGCUGGAGGGACGCAGAGGUCUGUGGAAUUCCUGGUGUAACGGUGAAAUGUGUUGAUAUCAGGAGGAACACCCAUGGCGAAGGCAGCAGACUGGGCGUUUCCUGACGCUGAGGAGCGAAAGCGUGGGGAGCAAACAGG